CCUCAUACUUCUACAAGUAAGUAUUCUAUUGCACCCUCUAACGCUUGCUGACAUAUAACUUUACAUUCAAAUUGUUUACGGACUAAAAUAGCAACACCACCGGCAUGAUUUACUCUAUCAGAACGAAACAGAUUGUCAUCAGCACAACGAAUAUAUGAGCUACUAAUAUCGGACGUGAACCAAGUUUUGGAAACACAGAUGAUAUCGACUUUUGAAUUUUCGAAUAGGUACCUGAACUCAUCGAUCUUAUUAGUCAAACCUUGCGCGUUUAUGUGACACACUAUCAUACCAGUAGUUUGUUUACAAAGAAUUCUGAUUAAUGCAUGGCUGUUAAGGUUUGGAGUAGGCUCGAUUGCAAAUAUAAGUAAUAACGAGACCUGCACUACACACACAGAACCACACAUAAUAUACCAAGAGUACGAAUUGUAAUUGAAAGUAAAUAUAAAUAGAACUACUGAUACCUUAAAAUGGACAUUUAGAACAUUUAGACGAGCUGCAUUAACGAAAUGAAUUAGGUCGCUCCAUCCUUCGUUGAGUCAGUUUCAGCAGGUGUUUUAUGCAGAUCAGGAUUAAUGUCGUUAAGGGCCUUCAUGUUCUCAACGCAUAGGACCUCAUCACUGCCCGUCUUCUUUACGUGGACUGUUGCUCGACGAGUAAAGACAGCCGAUAGGGUCUUCUGACGCUUCAUUUGCAUGACUGCUUUAAAAAUCUCGUAGUUUGUUUUAGUUUUAGUCAACUGUUCGUUCAGAUAAAUUGGAGUGGGCGACUCUAUACCAACGUAACUUAGAGAAAGCUGGCUUUUCGAUUCACGCCAUAGUGCACCCACGGUACGCAUCAGGUUAACCUUGUCUUCAAGUCAAUCGAACUUGAUCAUUAUUAUAGGGUAAACUAUAGAAAGACCGUUCCGAGGAAGAUAUCUCGAGUUCUUGGGGUAGGAGUAACUUUAAGGGUAAAGCAAAGGGUGUGAAUCAAUGCCCUCACAUCUUCGCCUUGAUUAACUGGUACCCCAUGAAGGCGGAGAUCUCACGCUGCAACUCAGAUGCAGACUAGGCGAUUGACUUGCUCUCGCAAGGCCCGGGUUUCCGCGACCUCACUCUUCAAACGCUCGAAUCUUUUUAUUAGUUCCGACAUAUCACUGUUAAUAGCGUCCAGCGAAAUAGUAAUUUUGGUCGUGAUGCAAUUCUCCAGUUCAGUCAUAAGGUUUUUAAAAAAGUCAGUUAGCUCAGCAAACUUCUGACAUAUUUUUUCCCAAAAUUAACUCAGUGGAAGUUUUUUCCAUGGUUCUCUUUGCUGGCGGUACAACCCAAAAUUAUUAACGAUGAUUACGAACAGGGUACGUACAUCUGUUUUGAUUAUGAAAAGUGGAGUCAGCGAAGGAAGGAGGGAUUCACUUUUGAAUAUAAGUACUUAGAGGACAAGGAGCUGAAUUGAAAAUGUUGCGAUGUAUUUUCUUCGUUCGUAUAUAAGAAAAUCAAUCCAUUAAAAUAAUAAAAUAAACAAAUACCAUUUUAUUACGAAAUCACACAUCCACAAUCAUAAAACAUAAACCCAAUAACAGUAAGCGAGAAAGAAAUCAGGUAAAAACGCAAAUAUGCCGCUGUAAACAUAAGUUAAAAGGAAAAUAAACUGUGAUACUUUUUUGAAA